UGUCUACAAGAAGUUUAACCCUUGAGGGUUGGGUGGAUUAAAAACUGUCCCAUAUUUGAGGCCGGCAGCACAAUAGUGGCUUAACUCACAAUUUUUUAUAUUCAAGCUUAUAAUAUGUAUGUAUAUUGGAAUUUAUUUAAAAUAUAAAAAAAGUUUGAUGGAAAAGCGGCCUAUCCAUAGUUUCAUCCAUAGAUAGCUUUGUAAGCAUUAUUUUUGCGCGUAAAGUAUUUUUUAGCCUACUCAAAUUUAAAUUCAUGAAAAUUCAAACCUAAUUGCCUCCAUACUAACUAUGGUUAACUUACGCUACUUUUGCGCUGACCGCCUCAUUUAGCUGUAUGCAUGGUGGGACAUACUUCAGCCCAUCUUUGUGAAGCUGUUGUUGUGGCCCAGAAAAGUUGAAGUCACUCAUAUUCGUACUGUUUAAGGUGUUUUUAAAAUUUUUCACUCGGCUUGCAACGCUACGCACCCUUGACUUACUGUUUACUGAUUGUUGAAAUAAUCGAAUUGAAUCUUAACUUUCGUGUAUAACAAGACUGUGCAAUAGUAUUUUUAUUUUCAUUAAAAUCCCACACUUCAAAGAGUUGAGGACAUCAUAAAUAGAUACUAAUAUUGUGGUGUGGUGUGGACACGACGUGUGGUGUGGUUAGACGAGUGUAAAUAAUACGUCCGUUCAGUUUGAAGGUCCGGUUUAUUGUGUAAAAGGUGUAUUUACUUACAAGACAGUAAGGCAGUAGUGCUGAAGAAGCACUUUAAAUAAGGCUGUAUACAUACUUGAAUGUUUAGACACUACAAUAUGAAACGGGUUCUUAGUUCGAAUUUCAGUUAUAGAUAACUCUGACAUGUGGUUACAAGCAUAUCAUCGUAAUUCGCUUGUAGAUUAGGGACUAGAUGCUAGGUGUCGUAGAAUUUAAAAAUUUACAUAAAAAAGGUUCGCUGAAGAAGCGUUUGGUUUUGAAGUUUUCAUUGCCUAACGAAUUAGGCAGCCGGUGAAGUCAUUGAAUUACGCCUUGAAGUGGAUAUAAUACCUGACGCCCAGUCUCCAUAAAAAAUUCCACAACAGCUUUUUAUAAGCGUUUUCUGCGACUUCAGGUCAUUUUAACCCAUCAACAACCUUAAGUCAGUGUGUUGAUAGACAUAGUAUUAUUCUACUCAGCGCGUGCAAAUUGAUUCAUCUUUUCUCUUACAAUUAAGAUAAAACACAAGCCUUUGCGCUCCGUUAACCACUUAACAUCAGGUGGUUUAUGAGCUCAUUCACAUGUUUAUCGAUUAAAAUAAAAUACUUAUAAAUUUUUUAUGUUAUUGUUAAUUUCUUGACUAAAAAAGCUGAUUUGCUGCCUAUUGCGUAUCGCAUAUAAUUGCUGUAGUGUACCUGUGGUCUUCGAUCAACAAUAGUAACUAGAUAAAGGGAUACGUACAAAAAUAAAGCAAAAACUGUCCGCGUGAAUAUAUAUGACGGCGUUAACGAUAUUACUGUUUAGCACGUGCAAUAGGAGUGACUCACACAAGCCAGGUGCGCCGGCCGUGUCGUUCGACUCAUAAACAACAGGUGCAACAGAAGUGACUCAUAAAUAAGCCAGCUGCGCCGGCCAGUAUAAAAAGGCGGUACGUGGCUCGCAAUGGACAUUCGUUGGACUGCGCUUGCCUGGUGCACUUACUAUAUCCUUGUUACGUUGUGUGAUUCAGUGACUGUUGUACGUACUGGUUAAAGUUGGACAAGUGUGAAAGUGAAUUGUUAAGAUAACAUAUUGUUGAUUAAAUCAGGAACCAAAAAUUGACAUCGUUUUACUUGGUGUUCAACAAGAUAAUGUCUACCCUCAAGCUUACAUCAGAAGUGAGAUCAGGACUCUACUCUCACUGGCGUGACGUGUUUGAACGUGUUCGAAGUACAGCAAAAAAAACAUGAUGCAGAUCAGAAUACUAGUAGUGGUACGCCACAAGAGCGUGAAUGCAGCAUACGUAAGUCGUGUAAUAACGUCUCUGUUACCUCGAUGGAAGAUCUGAGCCACGAAGAAAUCGUCACAUCUUACGUUCUGGCUCAUGUUGCCCAGUUUGACUGUCGACUUCAUCACAUGGCAUUUACUAACGGAAAUACAACACGUAACAAGCUAUUGCAAGAAAUUAAGGCAAGUGCAAAUCUCAAGUGAAACUUCGAUCGCAAUAAUGGAUCUGUCAUGACGAGUGGGUAGUUGCGACACGAAUCGUUUUUAAGCCAAUGACUACUGCUAGAGUUACAUGGCACUAGUACAGUAAACCAGGACAUGAGACUGUGAAUUGUCGCUGAAAUUUUAGAAUCUACUCGAUUCAAUACCAAUAACACUACACGUUCGAUGACUUCGGGCUCCAGCAAGCAAGCAAACAAGAAAGCAAGCAAGUUUCCGUGGGGAAGAAAAAUUUACACAUCUGAAGUCGUCGUGACCUGUAAGAUAAGACGUCCGGUGCGUUCGUGUCUGGCGAUGCGGCGGUGUUCGGGUUCCGCUGGCGGAUGCAGGUUUUUCCGGUGAAGUGCGUGCUUGACAAGUGUUCGCGGUUGGCUUCCUCAGUGUGGGAGUAACAUCGUGUAAGAGAGGUGGAACCCGUAAAAUUGUAGUUUGCGUGGUGGCUGGUAAGAUUUGUUGCGGUAAGAAGUUUGCAUGGUGGUAAAAUGUCUUGUGAGUCUGCACAGGUAGCCGGAGGUGAGACUUCCGCGGUCGCGGCCCACCCAGUCCGCGAGAACCGGGCAGAUCGCCCCGACGGUACGGAGGCCGGCCGACGGGUCCGCCAAACGACGAGAUCACGCCUCCAGCACGGACUGCCGAUAUUGGAGCCCCCGCGCUCCGGCUGCACUUGCGCUAGGGCGCGCCGCCUCGUAGGAGACUGUGAGGUGCUGUGGCAGGUCCAACCAGAGACGUCAACGUGUGUUCCAGAGCUUCAGUGUGUUACAGAUAAGUGGUUUUGGCUCCCCCUUUAUGUUCCAUUCAGGGUCAGAAUGUAGUCUUAUAAAACAAAGCCAUAGUAAUUUAUUCAAUGGUAAGCGGUUUCAUGAACAAGUCACCGUAGUCACCCUAGACACGUCCUUACGGAUCCAUCAGAUCCAAUAACUCUUGCAUUAGAUACCUUCAGCUCUAACACUAGGAGCAGGCUGAGGAACCCCAGUAAUCGUACUCGUCGAACUCUACAAAGAGGUCGACGUGCAACCUAACCCAUGCAUCAGCCCACUGAGUUUCUCGCCGGAUCUUCUCAGUGGGUCGCGAUUCCGAUCCGGUAGUAGAUUCAUUCGCGAAGCGAUUGCUCUUGAGUUGUUAGGUCUCCUGCGGAGGCGCUCGGGCAGUUGUUAGCAAAUCCCACCCCUCUUGGCUGAGCCUUUGCUCGCCCACCCGUCCUGGUGAAGCGGGAAAGGCCUCCGGGCCACCAGUAAUCUUUCAAUCAUCUGCAGUUUUGGAAAACGAUAGGUAUAAGUUGAGACGUGUAAAUGGUUCUAGUGUACAAAGUUCUCCAUGAAAACUUACGCGAAGUACCUCGAGGCCCGUCAGGCCUACUAGAAAUUUCUGAAAAUUAUAGUGACGAUGACGUGACGGCGUACACAGAUGGGUUAAGUAAUCUUGUUCAUGAAACUGAUCUUAAUGAUGACGACUCUAUCACUGACAAUAGAAGCGACAUUUUUGUCCGCAAAUAGCGAUACAGCAAACAUAGUCUGUGGGUAGUGAUACAAUGUCUGUAAGCUCAGGCACCUCAGGUGCAGGUGUUGGAAAUGUAGAAAACGAUGGUCGGUCUCGCACUAUUUCUGAAGAAAUUCCGUAUAAAUGUUCUGGUUUAAAAAAAAAAAAAAAAAAGAGAAUUGUAUGUGGCUAGAGAGAUGUUAAUCCGGACUAGCAAAAAAAAAAAGAGAAAAAAAAAAAAAAAAGUGUGAAGUCAUUGAAGGGUCUGUCCGGUCCAAUGGCUGGCUAUAGGGAUUUUCAUCCAGAUUAGCCACAACAAUUAGCUACAGGGAUUGCGAUUCGGUCUAGCAUUAUCCGGUCCAGUUCGAAAAACUGAAGGGAUAACAAUUCCGGUCUAAGUUAAAAGGGACAUACUUACAUACCUGAAGAGUUUUAAAUGAACUGGCCCAGGUAUGUAAGCAGUCUGAAGGUUAUUUAUAGCCAGUAUAGGAUUUUCUGAAGAAUUAUGUGAACCGAACCGUACUAGAUUAUUAAUAUCAUAGACCACGUUUUAAGUUGCAUCCGUUAAUGUCAGGAUGAACGAACACGUUUGUUGGUCACAGACAUACCAUAAGAAUACGCGCACGAGGACGAGCGCACGUCAGUAUGGCCGUGACGGCGUUAACGAUAUUACUGUUUAGCACGUGCAAUAGGAGUGACUCACACAAGCCAGGUGCGCCGGCCGUGUCGUUCGACUCAUAAACAACAGGUGCAACAGAAGUGACUCAUAAAUAAGCCAGCUGCGCCGGCCAGUAUAAAAAGGCGGUACGUGGCUCGCAAUGGACAUUCGUUGGACUGCGCUUGCCUGGUGCACUUACUAUAUCCUUGUUACGUUGUGUGAUUCAGUGACAGUUGUACGUACUGGUUAAAGUUGGACAAGUGUGAAAGUGAAUUGUUAAGAUAACAUAUUGUUGAUUAAAUCAGGAACCAAAAAUUGACAUCGUUUUACUUGGUGUUCAACAAGAUAAUGUCUACCCUCAAGCUUACAUAUACUUAUAUAGCUACAUUCGUUUACUAACAAACGGAGAAAAAAGUUUUGAAACACUUAUACUUUCAAACUAAUAACAACUAUGGCACCGAGUAAUAAAGUCACAAAUCUCUAAAACAUUAUCUAAUACUUACGAUCAUUCGUCACAUAAAACGAGCAAAGCAAUAAAUUACUCCUGUCACUUACCAAUAAAAAGACAUAUUUUAAACAACUUUUAAUGUUAAAUCAAUCUUAAGGUGCAACAAAUAAAGUAACUUUUCCCUUAAUUGCUCUGAGAACUAACAUCGUUUUGCUUUAUUUAUUUUUGCUUCUUGAAAUGCCGAUUUCUAUUUACUACAGGAGGUAAGGGAGUCGCGCUUAACACUAAAAUAAUUUAUUAAUGAAUUAAAGUAAAAGUUUAGUUGUUUACUUUUUAUGUUUUGGAAAUGUAUAUUUGUUAGUAUCUAUACAUUACUUUUUAUUUUAUUAGCGUUACGUUUUUGUGUAAUAUGUAUUUUUAAGUUUUCGCGACCAGUGCACAUAAUAAAACAACGUUUAAACGGUUUCAA